UCUCCGUUGGUGAACCAGCGGAGGGAUCAUUAUAGAGUUAUUAAAACUCCCAACCCAUGUGAACUUACCAUCGUUGCCUCGGCGGGCCUACCCGGAUCGACCUACCCUGUAGCGAGUUACCCUGUAGCGAGCUACCCGGAGCGGCCUACCCGGAGCGGUCCGCCGGUGGAUUUUUCAACUCUUGUUAUUUUAGUGAAUCUGAGCGUCUUAUUUAAUAAGUUAAAACUUUCAACAACGGAUCUCUUGGUUCUGGCAUCGAUGAAGAACGCAGC
rnacentral:misc_RNA from 1 species